AAAUAUCUUAGUUUUAAUCUUUAGAGUUUUUGUUUUGUUUGUUACCCAAAGAUUUUUUUUCAUCAAAAUGGAACCUUCAGGUCGUAAGUAUAUUGAUCCCGUUUACAUUUAAGGAUAUCACAUUUAAGUUGUGCAUCAUAGAAUCAGGUGUUGAUACCUCGAUCCAAUCCUCUUUUCCUGGGAGCGGUGGGAUCUGAGGUGACUGUGAGAAUCUCAUCCAUUCCGUCAGGUCCGGUUCCUCGAUGCCGCAACCUCUGCAGAAUGGUGCUAUGUCUUCUGGGCUGCGCGGCCGUCUCGGCGCCAUUUUGGAAGCCUGUUGCUCUCGGUCCGGAUCCGUCGGAGCGAAGAAUUGUUUGAACCAAACUGGGUUGCCCUGGUUUGUCCUUGUUGCUUCAAAGUGGACAAAUGCUUGACAUCUCAUCUACAGAAGACAUGUAUGAGAUUUAGCUCAUUGGAAGAGGUCAAAAAAGUUGCACAGACUGCCCAGUGUUGCUUGUGGAACAUUGCCGAGAAGGCUACCAUAUUUGAUUACC